UGUCGAGCAAGCGGUGCAGGAAAGAGAACGGAUAGGCCGGUAUCCGAGCCGGCCUUGACCGUAUCUCCGCUUAUCGCCGCGUUCGCGCUCCAUAGUCGACGUCACGCGUCGCGUUGUCGACGCCGAGAUUCCUCGCGCAGUGUACCCCAACGAUUCAAUCUGGGACAGACUCGUCGAUACCCGAAUAGCUGAAUUUAUUUACGAGACUUUUCGAAACUCUGGUGAAUUUUAUCGAGAAAUAUCGAAAACUACGGGGGUAACGUUCAACAAAUGAUUUCGAUGCUGCAUCGAAAUUGAUACACUUAUUCGUUACGGCAAUACGCAUCGCCAGCUAAUAAAAGGAAUUACGUAAUUUGCUUAAUCGAUAUAAUUAUCGCGAAAUUAAUUCGAGCGAUCGCCGACGUGGAAAUUCGUGCCCGCGGACCAAAGUUAAUAGGGCCGAUCAUCGAGACGCAUCCUACAAACGAUUUCCAUUACCGGUGCAUCGCGAAGAAAAUUUUACCCCCGUUCGUUCGAGACGGUACAACGGUCUUCGCCGGUCGCUGCGAUCCGCGAGUCCAAGGUACGCUGACACGGAGUAACGCGUGCAUAAACACCGGUAACGAACCGACGUUCACUCCAGGAUUCUGGUAUCUCAGCCGAGGAGGAUCGGACAAGAAGACAUCGUCGUCGAGCUGGCAUCGUUCGGUGAACGAGCAACAAUCGUUGCGCCUUUUUGUUCGUGCGUGCGUCGUCGUCGGCUGGUUACAAUUUCACAAUAAGUGGGGGAACUCGCAGUCUUUUGCCAUCCUCGGAUUAACACCGUUUAACCCUCCGUGAAGGAGCCAUCUUGAAGAAGCUUAAAGAGCCUACCGUUGAUACUGCCAGAAAUCAUUCCGAGCGCCAGGGCCAUCGCAUUCGACACCGGAAAUGGAGACGACUGGACAGUGGAGUUCCUCUUGCGCGACGGGCACGCAUGGGAUUCCGGGACGCUCCUCUCGUUAUCGCCCACCGUAACAGUCGAUCGAGCCAGUUACCUUCGAGCCGGCCUUGCGUCGUUGCCUCCUCCGACGACACCUGCGAGGAACAUCGUAAACGAACCCCCGAAGAGACAAUUCCCUCGAAAAUGUAACGCCACCUCGUCAACCCCGAUAGUAUACCACGUACUUUUCUCUUCCUGUCCCUCUGUUUAAAACCGUGAUUAGACCAAUUCAUCCUCAGAUGCGUACAAGAAGAAAGCAGUGGUUCGUCGUUCCCUUCGCUGCUCGUCACCGCGCGUAUUUUCCAAGGAUUGAAAACCCGAGAGCCGGGGCAUCGACGCGUUACGCUCGGAACGGCUCGCAAACCGACACGGUUCGUUUCCACGAUAUUCGUGUUACUGUCAAAACACCGUUCGUUACGUCCGUUCCGUGUUAUAAUCGAAGUAUACGGGUGCAUGUGGGCGCAACGAUAAAGCAAAAUAUUUACCGAGAGCUCGCCGCUGGAAGAGCUAAUUAAAUAGACCACGAUUUACGGGAGAGCCUUGCUAUUUUCGCGUCGUUUUUCGCGACGCAUAAAAUCGACCGGUGUCGAAGCGCGGCGACGCAUCGCGGCGGAACACUUUUCGUUUAAUUAAAUCGUAUAACGGGCCCCCGAGACGCGUAAAAAUACAUCACGCCCGUUAUUCCCCCCUCCGUUUCUGUCGCGCGCCUUUCAAAAUAGCGCCGCGUCGUGGCUUCUAAUCUGUUAUCGGGCGUAAUUUAUUUUUAAUGUCGGCUCGACGUUGCAGCGCGACGAUGAAAAUCGGUUGGCUCGUUGGUAGUUUUAUUCGUGCGAUAUUUAGAUUAGUCGAGUUCGCUACACAUUGAAAACAUGGGCUUGGAAAUUAUUAGACGUUUUCGCAACAUUUUGCCGAAACUCGACAUUGGAUGGACAUUGAACUCGGGAAUGACAAUGAUAAUCUGUGCGAAGAAUCAUAGCAGUCUCCUUUUUCGUUCUUCGUUACAUUGGUAGUUAGACUGCCUGAAUUAUGCGAACAACUGUUACCGUUGACAGUUGAAAUGACUGGUGUUAUUGUCCAGUGUGGUAAGCAUGAGUCCUACACAUGAAUUAUAUCCGUAACUUUUUUAUCCAUUGAAUAAACAGUCCGUGCGUCCAACUGAAAAUAUAUGGUUGUUUUUAUUUUUUUUUUUUUGCUCGGCAAUCAUAUUAUAUAUAAAAUAAGUUACCACAAAUAUAUGUUUUUCAAAAUAACCAUAUUAGAACAUUUGUAAGAAAUUUUUCAUUAAACAUAAUAUCAUAAUUGCAGCUUCCAGCGAAGUAGCUCCCUAGCUACUUAUUUUCGUCCGCGGCAAAAGUUUUAACUGUGACCUCGUGUCAUAUUACACAAUCCCGAAACACACCUUGUUCCGGCAACGAAUUAUAACCAAAUUUGAGUGAAUCGAUACACGAAGGUGUCGGUUCAUUUGGAUAAAAAUGACGACAACGAUGACGAACCUUUGCUACCCAAGCUAUCUCCUCUGUGUUACAUCCUAUGUAACGUGGUAAUAAUGUCCACGAUGCGCACCUUCAAGGUCUCUUCGUCCGAAAGUAGAAGUAGCAUUUUCCUUAGGCCCUAUAGUGUUACCUACAUGUCGGUGUCUAUCGGAUACGAAAU